AUGGCGGCAGCUGAAAUUCAGAAACAAACAUGCGUCGUCAUACACUGCCUCUUACAAAAUGAACAAUAUUUUGAUAUGGUGGAGACUGAUGGUCCUGGAGAUGAGAACUCAUUUGACCCUGUAAAAAUAGCCUCAAAGCUCAGGGAGCUGGGUGACGAUUAUGAUGAGCGAGUGAUCCAGCCAUUGAUGAAGAAUGUGCAGAAAGCUGCAGCCGAUCAGGUGGUGACUGCUUUCAGUGAUAGCGUGGACAGCUUGUGCCAGAUGUGGGUUGUGGAAAGAGCAGAAGUGGCCUCAGAGAAGCAGCUUCUCAAGGCUGCCAUCACACUGGGACUCUUUAUGAAGAAAAACUGCCCUGACAUGAUGAAUGUAGCUGAGGUCGCUCUGAUGGGAUUCGUCAACAACCGUCUAACAAGUUGGAUUGCAGAGCAAGGGGGCUGGGUCUCUGUCUCUAAGAACAGCAUGUGUUGAGAUUGAGCUCAUUGUCUCAUUCUCUGAGAGACCCUCAAUCAUUCUUCUGAAGUUUUGAUUUGUAAUGCAGGAUGAACUGUAAAUAUCAGCCAGAUGCCAAGGUGCUGUUUUCAGACAAUCACAACCAACAAAGUUUUUUAAUGUUUACAUUUUUACUCUAAUGCCGAUAUUUGUGUUUGAGUAUUACAACUGAUGCAGGAAUUCUCAACCAACAAUGCUUUUUUAAAUGAUAGACUUGUGUCUUAUGAUGUAAUCAAAUUUCUUUGCAUCACUGAUGUGGGGUAAAACUGUAAUAUUAUUUUAAAUAAUUUCAAAUGAAGCACUUUGAACAAAUGUGUUGGUCUAAUAAAGACAUGCAUGUUGUAGUAAACAAAAUGUUAGACUUCCUUCACUACAGAUCAAAUAAACAUGAAGUGACAUGUUGAG
ensembl:lncRNA